rnacentral:rRNA from 1 species
UACGUAGGGGGCAAGCGUUGUCCGGAUUUAUUGGGCGUAAAGCGCGUGUAGGCGGCUGGGUAGGUCUGCUGUGAAAACUUGAGGCUCAACCUCAAGAGGUCGGUGGAAACCAUCCAGCUAGAGUCCGGAAGAGGAGAAUGGAAUUCCUGGUGUAGCGGUGAAAUGCGCAGAUAUCAGGAAGAACACCCGUGGCGAAGGCGGUUCUCUGGGACGGUACUGACGCUGAGACGCGAAAGCGUGGGGAGCGAACAGGAUUAGAUACCCUGGUAGUCCACGCCGUAAACGAUGGGUGCUAGGUGUGGGGGGUGUCGACUCCCUCCGUGCCGAAGCUAACGCAUUAAGCACCCCGCCUGGGGAGUACGGCCGCAAGGCUAAA